rnacentral:rRNA from 1 species
AGAGUUUGAUCCUGGCUCAGAAUGAACGUUGGCGGCGUGGAUUAGGCAUGCGAGUCGCGCGAGAAUGUAGCAAUACAGGAAAGCGGCGAAAGGGAGAGGACAACAUGGGAAUCUGCCCGGGGGUCGAGGAUAGCGUCGGGAAACUGACGGUAAUACUCGAUAAUGUUUACGGACCAAAGGUUUACUGCCCCUGGAUGAGCCCAUGCCCCAUUAGCUAGUUGGCGGUGUAAUAGACCACCAAGGCGAUGAUGGGUAGCUGGUGUGAGAGCACGACCAGCCUCACUGGCACUGAGACACUGGCCAGACACCUACGGGUGGCUGCAGUCGAGAAUCUUCGGCAAUGGACGAAAGUCUGACCGAGCGACGCCGCGUGCGGGACGAAGGCCUUCGGGUUGUAAACCGCUGUCGAGGGGGAUUAAGGGCAACUUGAAAGAACCCUGGAGGAAGGAGAGGCUAAGCUUGUGCCAGCAGCCGCGGUAAGACGAGCUCUCCAAACGUUAUUCGGUAUCACUGGGCUUAAAGAGUUCGUAGGCGGCUUUACAGGUGGGGUGUGAAAGCCCUCGG